rnacentral:misc_RNA from 1 species
CGCGUUUCGGGCGUUUUACUUCCGCCAGCAAAUUUUGGCCCAGCGGCCAGCCCAAUUAGGGAAUAGGGAUUCCGCCGCCCAGUCCGUCCAGUCCGCUGUAGCCGCCGCGGUGCCUCCAGUCCGCGCCGUCCCUGUCCCUGUCCGCCCACGCCCAUCUGGUGCAGCCGACGCGGCGCCUCCAGGAGUCCAGGCCGCCAUCGCCUGUGCCAGGCAGCGCCAUCCCUGUCCGCGUCCGCCCAUCCGCCGCCCCCACAAGGCCACAACAGGGACGUCCGCCACCCGCCAAGCAGGGCCAGUCCGCCGGCCGCCUGCUCGCUUGCUCCAGCACUAUCUGGUAUGCUCAAGCACUAUCCCCAUCAGACGACGUUUAAUCUAUCUGGUAUGCUCAUUGCUCAAGCGAACAGCAUUGCAUUCAGUUGAUGUUGCUCGCUUGCUGUUGCUUCAGCACUUCAGCAGUUGCUCAAGCGAACAGCUUGCCUGUUGCUCGCUUGCGGAAGGAUUGAAGUGCUGUGUUCUGAACAUGCAUUCCAUUAUUGCAGAAUAGAUUGGAGGAGAAAUGGCUGAUUUUAGCACGGAUGAUGUUGGUUUAGAUGAUUUGGAUGAUGGUUAUUGAGUGCUUGAGUAACACAUGUGUGCUUGUGGUUGUGGACAUUGCAUUCCACUUUAUUUUGCACAAUAUUAUUAUGUGAACUUAUGUUGGUUGUUUGGUAUUUGACUUUAUGUUAUUGUCUGAAAUUAUUAUAUAUUGAAAUUUCUCUAUGUUGUUUAAAACUACGUUUAAACUUUGUUUAAACCGUUUAAAAGUUAAAACUCCACCCAUGAGCGUUUCAACGUUUCGUCGUUUUAAUAACCUUGAUGGGCUUAUCAUCAAAGUUCCAUCUCAUCGUUUCUCUAACACUGUUAGAGGCACCAAAUACUUGAACUGAAACAAGAUCCUUCCAAACAAUAAUGAGAAAGGAACUGCAUGACAUGUCAUUCAACAACUGCAGAGAAAGCCUGCAGAACAUCUCCAGUUCACACCGAUGGCAAGUAAAAAUUAAAUCAACAAGGCAAAGCACCUGUAAUUGUGUUGCGAUCGAUU